rnacentral:rRNA from 1 species
AUGCCCAUGAUGAUGUCAAGCAUAGUUCCAGUAGUGCCGAAGAACACCAGCGGAGCGAAGGACUUCCUCUUUAUGCCCACAGGAAUGGCAAGGAGAGCACCAGCAACAGAGAAGACCCAAGUUCCGAGGGCACUGCAUGCACGUGCGGAACUGUAUCAGCAUAACAUGUUCCAAGCAAAGUGCUGCCUAAAGAACUGCUCUUUUUCUAGACAUAUAUAUCUGCAAAGUUUACAAUUCUACACAUAUCAUUUAUUGGUGCUAACUUUAGUACACGGUAACUUUGUCAUCUCACAUAUUCGAAGCAAAGUGUACAAAUCUACAGCGCAUGUUCACUGGACUUUUAACUGCGCCCUGUUUACACAAUUCAUUAUUCUAACAUGGCCGUGCACACCCCAAUAG